rnacentral:tRNA from 1 species
GGUGCAGUGGCUCAAUGGGGAGGGGUUCGAGUGUUUCCGUUACUUGUGGGACGAGCCGGCUACUCAGAUCGCGAUCGUUUUCGUGGGCGGCGCCG